GCGCUGAUAGCCAAGCGGUUGGGCAAGUGAUUGCAAAUCACUUCUACAUCGGUUCGAAUCCGGUUCAGUGCU
rnacentral:tRNA from 2 species